UUCUUUUACUUAUAUAUUUCUCCCAUUUUUUAUAUAUUUUACAACUAUCAAGUUAAUUCUUUAAUUUUUGUUUUUUAGACACCAUCAGAUUUACGUCACGUUAUGGGGUUGUUAUGCUGAUCAGAUUUUAGAUUUUGAGAAGAACAAUAAGGAUGAAAAGAAUGUUGUGGUUGUUGUUCAGUUUGGGAAGUACAGAUUUUGGGGAGGUAAUUUGUUUGUCUCCAAUUUGUAUAAUGUAACUCGAGUCUUGAUAAACUCUGAGGUGAAAGAGAUUUUGGAUUUCAAGAAAAGAUUUAUCGAGAAACUUUCUCCCGAAAUUUAUUCCAGUU